UACGAAGGGGGCUAGCGUUGCUCGGAAUUACUGGGCGUAAAGGGCGCGUAGGCGGCACUGUUAGUCAGGCGUGAAAGUCCUGGGCUCAACCUGGGAACUGCGCUUGAUACGGCAGAGCUAGAGGAUGGAAGAGGCUCGCGGAAUUCCCAGUGUAGAGGUGAAAUUCGUAGAUAUCAGGAGGAACACCGGUGGCGAAGGCGGAUCUCUGGGCCAUUACUGACGCUGAGGAGCGAAAGCGUGGGGAGCGAACAGG
rnacentral:rRNA from 1 species